rnacentral:rRNA from 1 species
GACGAACGCUGGCGGCGUGCUUAACACAUGCAAGUCGUACGGUAAGGCCCUUUCGGGGGUACACGAGUGGCGAACGGGGGAGUAACACGGGAGUAACCUGCCCACAACUUUGGGAUAACGCUAGGAAACUGGUGCUAAUACUGGAUAUGUGCUGCUGCUGCAUGGGUGGGGUUGGAAAACUCCGGCGGUUGUGGAUGGACUCGCGGCCUAUCAGCUUGUUGGUGGGGUAGUGGCCUACCAAGGCGGCGACGGGUAGCCGGCCUGAGAGGGGGACCGGCCACAAUGGGGCGGAGAUACGGCCCAGACUCCUACGGGAGGCAGCAGCGGGGAAGAUUGCACAAUGGGCGCAAGCCUGAUGCAGCAACGCCGCUGGCGGGACGAAGGACUUCGGGUUGUAAACCGCUUUCAGCAGGGACGAAGCUGUUUGUGACGGUACCUGCAGAAGAAGCACCGGCUAACUACGUG